rnacentral:misc_RNA from 1 species
AGUCAAGUUAAAAGCAAAAACGUCUCGCGAUCGCAAGCCACGCCACCACAAAAGCGGCCGGAAAUCAGCUGGAGGUCAAAUAGAAGGCGUCGCAUCAACGAAUUCAACCUACCAGCAUCUGGAAGCAGAGCUACAUCACAGCAACAAGCAGUGCUGGCCACAUCAUCAGUCGCUAAGGACGAACAAAGGGUUUGGUAGCAGCGGUUUCAUGUCCGACUGCGACACGGCACGGCUGCCGCGUCAUCACCGAAUCGAACUUCUACGCCAACAUUUUUGGAGACGCUUUAAUAAGGAAUAUAUUUCUCAGUUGCACCAACGAACGCGCUGGCAACGCUCACGCGGCGCGCUCACAGAGGGCUCAUUGGUCAUCGUGAAAGAUGAGGCGCUACCGGUGGCUCAGUGGCCAUUGGGACGUAUCGUGAAGCUGUAUCCGGGACAUGACGGAGAAGCUCGAGUGGCGGACAUCAAAGUAAAGACCGGGACAAUCAGACGGGCCUUUCAUAAAAUAUGCCCAUUACUGGAUGAACCAUCGGACUGAUCAUGAAAUAUCAUACAUCAUCAUCACCUGGGCUGGCCUUUCCUUGGUCGCCCGGGAAUAUGUUAACGCACACGUUAACACGCACGCACAUGCAGACACACAUGCAUCUCAAGCAGAGGGGAGCGGGCGGCGUGGCGGGGCAGCGACGGCUCGCGCGCCCUCCAAACACACCUUACGACAACGCGAGCAAGAACGGACGGGAUUGCGAAUUUAAUUAGUGCUAAUAGCCUACUUAAGAAAACCUAUUAAACCAAGAAAUACA